GACGAACGCUGGCGGCGUGCUUAACACAUGCAAGUCGAACGGAAAGGCCCUGCUUUUGUGGGGUGCUCGAGUGGCGAACGGGUGAGUAACACGUGAGUAACCUGCCCUUGACUUUGGGAUAACUUCAGGAAACUGGGGCUAAUACCGGAUAGGAGCUCCUGCUGCAUGGUGGGGGUUGGAUCGUUUCGGCGGUUGGGGAUGGACUCGCGGCUUAUCAGCUUGUUGGUGGGGUAGUGGCUUACCAAGGCUUUGACGGGUAGCCGGCCUGAGAGGGUGACCGGCCACAUUGGGACUGAGAUACGGCCCAGACUCCUACGGGAGGCAGCAGUGGGGAAUAUUGCACAAUGGGCGGAAGCCUGAUGCAGCAACGCCGCGUGCGGGAUGACGGCCUUCGGGUUGUAAACCGCUUUCGCCUGUGACGAAGCGUGAGUGACGGUAAUGGGUAAAGAAGCACCGGCUAACUACGUG
rnacentral:rRNA from 1 species